AACAGGAAGGAAGAAAAUAAAGUACAGAUCUGACCAUCUGAGGACACAAGAGGAGAUUAUGCACCCUCGUUAAUAAAAUAAUUGUUAAAUCCUCUUUUUUUCUAAAAAAAAUUCCAGAACAAUUGAGACAAUCCAAGUGAAUCCAAUACCAUUACUUAGUGUCAUCAUUAGAGCUUGUCAUUCCUUAAAAACAAAACCUGCCAGACCAAAAUCUUAAAAAGCUUUAAAUUUCAAGCUUGUUUCCUCAUUUGCAGAGUAAUCAAAAUCUCAAAGAAUUCCAUUUGAACAACCAUAAGCAAAGAUGGAAGAUUCACAAUUAAGCACAAUAACAUCAAGAUCCCAUCCAAAAUGAACAGAUCCAAUAGAAAGCACAUCACAGAUCCCCGCAAAACCAAUAAAAGCGUGACCAAUUUUCAAAAUGCAUUAGAACACAAGUAAGAUGAAAACAAUUGCAAUAACAUUCGUAGUUCUAGCUACUUCAUGCAGAGAUCCAGGUUCUAUCAAGUAAGAAAUGUGGAUUAAUCAAAACUAAAUAGCAGACCAAAACACAAAAAAUACGUCACCUUUAGCAAUAGAUCUAAGAGAAACAAUAAAUAAUCAGUUAGAUCAAAAUUCAAAAACUAACAAAAACACAAGAUCCA
rnacentral:misc_RNA from 1 species